AGCUGUGACGUGUCAACACCGCUCUGCUCUAAUUGCCCAUGAACUGUCACGUCUCAACAUCGACAUUGCUGCUCUCAGUGAAGUUCGUCUUCCUGAGGAAGGCAGCCUUAGAGAACAUGGUGCCGGUUAUACACUCUACUGGUCAGUAAAACUGCCAGAG